rnacentral:lncRNA from 1 species
GGGUGAAUGGUUAAAGAAACUGUGGUACAUCCCUACCAUGGAAUAGUGCUCAGCAAUAAAUGGAAUGGACUACUGAUACAUACAGCAAUUUUGAUGAAUCUCAAGGGAAUUAUGCUGCGUGAAAAAAAAAUCCUAAAAGGUUACAUACUAUAUGAUUCCAUUUAUAUAACUUUCUUGAAAUGACAAGUUAUAGAAAUGGAGAACAGAUUAGUGGUUGCCAGCAGUUAGGUAUGUGGAGUGAGGAGGGAGAUGGGUGUGGCAACCAAAGGGCAACAGGAGGGAUCUGUGUGGUGAUGGAAUUGUUCUGUAUCUUGACUGUAUCAAUGUCAAUAUCCUGGUGAUAGUUUACUGUCAUUUAGGAAAAUGUUAUCAUUGGGGCAAACUGGUUAAAGAGUAUGCUAGAUCUCUCUGUAUGAUUUCUUACAACUGCAUAUGAACCUACAAUUAUCUAAAAAUAAAAAUGUUUAAUUUUAAAGUCUUUUGCACACACACAACAGCAAAUAGAGACAAAUAGGGAAUCUUCUAGAAGAGAAUCAUCAAGGUGGUGAGUAGCCCAGAAAUUAUGUCAUGGAGAAAUGAUUGAAGGGUCUGGGAGGUGGGGUAUCACCUGAAAAAAAGAAGACCUAACAGCAGUACUUGGAAAGCUGCCAUAUGGAAGAAUUAUUAAAUUAGAAUCAAUGGGUAGAAGUUACAAGAGAAGAUUUCAUUUAAAUAUAUGGAAGAACUUUCUAGAAACUAGAGUUUGUUAAAAAGUAAGAUGAUGGAAUUCUAAAUAUCUAGAGAUAUUGGCCUUACUGUUCUUUGAGCAUACCAGGGUACCUUAGGGCCUUUGCACUGGCUCUUCCUCUGCCUGCAAUGCUCUUCCCGCACAUAUUUGCAUGGCUAACACUCUCAUCUCUUUCAAGUUUUUGUUCAAUGUCUAUUGUUAAGGUUGUGGGGCGAAGGGUAUGUGUUUCCCCGGGACCACAUGUGGUCCCAGCGCAAGAAAGCCAUCAGUGGGGUUGUCUUAGAUCCUCCUGCUACAUAGCCCCCACCUUGUACAGGUGCCUAGCAAGGUGGAAGAGGAGAGAAGAAGCCAAUUUUGCUCCUCCUUUUUCUGCCAUAAGUGGUCAGCCUAUAGCAGGCCUAGACUGGAGAGGGGAGAA